UACGGGGGGGGCAAGCGUUGUUCGGAAUUACUGGGCGUAAAGGGCUCGUAGGUGGCCAACUAAGUCAGACGUGAAAUCCCUCGGCUUAACCGGGGAACUGCAUCCGAUACUGGAAGGCUCGAGUUUGGGAGAGGGAUGCGGAAUUCCAGGUGUAGCGGUGAAAUGCGUAGAUAUCUGGAGGAACACCGGUGGCGAAGGCGGCUCACUGGGUCUCUACUGACGCUGAGGUACGAAAGCCAGGGUAGCGAACGGG
rnacentral:rRNA from 1 species